rnacentral:rRNA from 1 species
GAUGAACGCUGGCGGCGUGCCUAAUACAUGCAAGUCGAGCGAACGGACGAGAAGCUUGCUUCUCUGAUGUUAGCGGCGGACGGGUGAGUAACACGUGGAUAACCUACCUAUAAGACUGGGAUAACUUCGGGAAACCGUAGCUAAUACCGGAUAAUAUUUUGAACCGCAUGGUUCAAAAGUGAAAGACGGUCUUGCUGUCACUUAUAGAUGGAUCCGCGCUGCAUUAGCUAGUUGGUAAGGUAACGGCUUACCAAGGCAACGAUACAUAGCCGACCUGAGAGGGUGAUCGGCCAUACUGGAACUGAGACACGGUCCAGACUCCGACGGGAGGCAGCAGUAGGGAAUCUUCCGCAAUGGGCGAAAGCCUGACGGAGCAACGCCGCGUGAGUGAUGAAGGUCUGCGUAUCGUAAAACUCUGUUAUUAGGGAAGAACAUAUGUGUAAGUAACUGUGCACAUCUGGACGGUACCUAAGCAGAAAGCCACGGCUAACUACGU